GCACUGCUGAGGAGUCUCGCAAUAAGACGAAACGGCCUUCCAGUGC
rnacentral:hammerhead_ribozyme from 1 species